CAGCGAAACCACAGCCAAGGGAACGGGCUUGGCGGAAUCAGCGGGGAAAGAAGACCCAGUUGAGCUUGACUCUAGUCCGACAUUGUGAACUGACUUGAGAGGUGUAGGAUAAGCGUAAUAACUGCGUAUAGCAUAGAUAAGACGAAGUUAUACGAGGGAGAGUGGGCUCUGGCGAGCGAGCCCAAGGAAGCACGGCGGCGAGAGCUGGAACGGGUCCUCCGGUCCGGGCCUAGCCGGACCCGGCU
rnacentral:ncRNA from 1 species